CAGCCAGCGCUCUCUAGAAUAUCUAGUUUGAAAGAAAACUGAGAAGUGUCACCUCCAGGACGAUGUGACAAUCUGUAUGCAGAACAGGUGAAAACAAAAUACUAGGAGAGAAUCCUACAAUUUAAAUAAAGCAUUGAAUGGUUCCCUUUAAGAUAGUUUAGAUGCUAACCUGUUUACAGGACAACUUCAAAACAACUGGGGAUUAACACUGCUCCAUUCCCCUCCCCCAGGCUCAUCUGAAUUCUAAGUAUAGACCCAUGAUGAAAGAUUUCAAAGGCAAUAGCCAUUGCUCCAAAAUAGCCUGGUUAGUAUUUGCAGAGUGGUUCAGCUCUUUUCUCUGUCCUGCCUGUCAAAAAGAUGCCAUUCCUGUGAUUAAAACUAUUACAGUCCUUCAAAGGUUAUACAUGACUUUCAGGCUUCAGCCUCAAUAGCAGCAGAUGGUACUAAUUUGAACACAUCAUUCCAUGCUUCCUGGAGUAAUCACACAGCUUGCUUAGAUUUUCUAAACAUGACUGAACUGUGAUGAAGCGAUCAACAUUCACUGGCAAGCAAAACUGCCUUACAGGGUGAAACACUGUGGUGAAAAUGCCCACAGCAAAGAUUCUUACUUAGAACCAUUAAAUGUAUCCCCAUGUAUGAACUUCUGCUUUGAAGAAGGUGGAAGAGAUGUUUUAAUCCUACUCCUUCCACUAAAUGCAAUUAAAACCAUGGACAUUAAAUAUAAUGCAAGCAUAAGAAGACUCUGAAAGAUGGAGAGAAGGCAGAGCAACUAGGGAAAUCAGGACCCAAGAAACAAUACAGUGGCAACUAUAAUGGCUUUUACACUUUCAGCAAUUACUUACUGUUCUCUAAGACUCUGCUCCUGUCCAAUAAUCAAGAUCAUUUUACCUGAUGCUAAAACACCUGAUGCAGACCAUCUGCCUGGAUUUGAACAUAUUUCCUUCUGCCAGAUUUUGCAUAGCAAUGGUCUGCUACCCACCUUCUGGGGAAAUACCUAUCACUCCUUUUGGACCUCUUUGACACUGCCUGUCCUGGAUGCGACAUAUCACCAGCAAUCAGAGUUCAUGGCUGCUUAAAAAGAUACAAAGAAGUAAGAAUGGACAGUGUUAUAAUCAACAGGCAGUCAACAGUUUCUAUUAAGUUGCCAGAUUGAAGGAAAGACGCAUAAAUCUUCAGAGAACAGAGAACAGCCAUCUCUGUGAGCAACCUGCAGCUCUGAUGAGUCACUCCCUCCAUGCAUGAGAAGGCCUAUGUUUGACACUGCUAUAAUCUUUUGG